rnacentral:lncRNA from 1 species
CCUGAGGCCUCCAACCCACACCUGUGCCCAUGGGCAGAUGCUUUAUUUAUACCCUAGACCGGUCUUUGUUCUCUGGCUGUCUGAGCUGUGUUGUAAGUGUUUGUCUUCAGAAAUAGUUGUAAUGUAGCUGUGCUUGUGGAUGAGGGUCUACCUUAAGAUUUCUAGGUGUGAAGCCCAGUGGAAAGUGGUUGUGUUUACUACUCACACUGCACCAUCUUCGAUGGCUUUGUUUCUAUUUGUGCUUUUUGGACAAGCAUUAAGCUCCGUAGACAAUCAGGCAAAUGAAGAGCGUUGUUCUGGAAGCUGCCAAGAAAAAGGACAGGAAAUUGUAGGUCAUUAUGAACAUAUAUUCUGGAUCAACAGAUUGGUAUGUGGAGGCCUGAGAGUAUCAGAAACUUGUCUCCUCACAUUGAGGUCCUGGCUAGAAUAG